GAGAAUAAAAGUCAACUGAAAACCAUACUAACAGGAAGAAGUUAUCGGUAGUAAAGAGCAGGGGCAGGUCUGCAACGGGGAGACUGCAAAAGGGCAAAAUCUACAAACACAAUCUUUAAUUUUGACCAGGAAAUACAGCAAUGAUUGGGUUUUCUUCCAUUUCUUAGCAGGAGAUUCCACAGAGCAGCUUGCUUACAAUCGUGGGAGGAAGUCUCUUCCCAGCAACUGGAAUUCGGUUUGGACCCUGCUGCAGCCCCUGGGGGAUUGCCCUGGGAAAGGAAUCCUGUGUUUGGAACUCAGCUGCCCUUCCCAGGUCCCCACUAAAGGUCCAGCCAUGUCCCCAGGUGGUGCUCUGUUCAGAUGGCUCACCCCGAUGUGGGCGAAAAGUCAGAAAUCUGAGCUGGGCUGUGGCCCUGGGUACUGCCUUUCAAAGAAUCUGCUGUAGGUUUUCCUUUUGCUGCUUGGACAGAGAUAAAGUCUAUCUAAAAGGCACUCAAGGCUGUUGUUUCCCUUCUGCAGAGGUUUUUGGGGAUUCUUGAGAAAGGAGUAAGGACUGAGGCUGAGGUAACAGAAAGGAUGGGUGUGGCCUGGGGCUUGCCUGAAAGGAUGAGAUCAGCCUGCAUGUCUCCAAGACAGCCUCCUGGUUUACCCCAGAGGCCACUUGGGGACGAUUCAGCCUCCAAGUGCAGUCUUUUCAUUUUACCUCUGCCAGCAUUUGGGGGGCUGUGUGUGAGGUACAGAAGUUCCAGGUGAUAGAAACCCAGGAGAGAAACGCCUGUGUCUGCUAUUCCUUAACUGAGAGACAGAGCUUGGAUUCUGGUCCCUCUUCAAGCGGCUGCUGACCUGGUACACACUUGUCUCCCUGAACCAGAGUUUGCUCAUCUGUGAAGUGAAGGGGCGGGGCUGACUCAUCUCUACAGUGUUUUUCCAUUUCGAGGUCUGUGGGUCUGUGGUUACUUCCUUUUCCUCAUCAACAGCCAGCCCCUAUCAGAAGUAUGUUUACUUGAAAGUUUUGAUGUUGGCAUAAAAUUCUAGCUUCACUAUGUUAGGCUUUCCUGGUUGCAGCAGACAAAAACCACAGAUACAUCCAAGACGCCAAAUGACGCUCAGAUUCAGGGCCAUGGCUGGUGUAACUAGCACCUUGGUUAGUGUGAGAAGAAAAAGUGCCUUCCCUGGGUGGACUCAGCUGCAAGUCAGGUGGGUCCAUGUUCUAGAAGGUGGCAUACCAGCUGUUUUCAGCCCAAUGAGCUCUCAGGAGUCCUUGUGCAGUGCAUAACCUGUACGAGCAUCCGCAGAGUGCUCACUUCUUUGGGCUCUGACUCCUUACUGAAGGUAAGGAGUAAAAAGUGGCCAGAACAGAUGCAUACCAUUGAUAUGACAGAAGGAGACUUUUAUAAUUACUGCCUUAAAAUAUUUCGUACAGUUAAAAAGCUGCAAGUCUGGGCCUAAGAUGCUGCCCAGAUCCUACACUCACACAGUCCAUCUGAUUUGGAAGCAUCAAGGGGCAAGAUUCGUAAUAAUAAUAAAAUUCCUUCAUUUUUAUAGAACCUUACAAUUUAGUAGCACAUUAAAUGUACUUUCCUUUUCGAUUUGCUUCUGAUUCUAACCAUUGCCCUGAUGAGUAAUAAUUAUCCUCAUUUUAAAUGCAAAGGAAAUGAAGCUGAGAGAUUCAAAGACUUGCUCAAGGUCACCUAAUAAGUGGUGAAGGCAAGAACUGAACCCAUGUCUGUUUAGCUCCAAGUUCAAGAUUUUUCUCUUCCACACCAGGUCCCAUAAGAUCCUGAUUUGGGCAGUGGCAGCCAGACCUAUAGAACUAUUCUUUGAGGGUUUAGAAUUAGUCUGAGAAAGCCAUCCUUCUUGUAUUAACUAUAGAAGGGCUCUCCAUGCAGCUGUAGUAACGAGGCUUAGAAUACAAGUUCUGGAGAGGUCUUGGCAGAUCUUACAGUCAAGUCAAAGUAUUUCUCACAUGGGGAAAUGAUACCUGGAGAUUCGCUUGUUUGGUUAAAUGUACCUAUACUAUCUGUGUGCCAUUAACCCAGGACUCUCCAACAUUUUAGAUUUCACUCUGCAAGGCAUCCUAGGAAAGCCUUGGGAGUCUAGAGAGGGUCACCUGGAAGUCACCAUAUAAUACAAACAUAAUAUCUGUAGGCCACUACUGAUGAAUCCAAGACUCUUCAGUGUCAUUGUGGUCUUCCCGACUGUGAGCACAGGCCUUUUAGCAGUGUCUCAUCACUGCUUUUAUUUACAGCAUCUGGGAUAGUUAAACUGGAGCAGCUUCCAUCUCUCCCCAGGCCCCAGACCCAAAUACCCACUUCCUAUCACAUAUCUCCGCCUGGACAUCCCCUGGGCAUAGCCAACUGAAAUGUGUGUAAAGUGUCCACUGCCUUCUCCUACCACAAAUCUGCCACCUAAGCCCACCCCUCCCUAGUUCAUGUGAUUUCCACGUGUGUCACCAUGCAUGCUCCCAUGUCCAACUUAACACCUUAUACUCACCCUCUGUUCCGUGCAUUCCUCCUUUACCACAUUCACCAGGUUACCAGGUUAAUUCUGACUCCACUUCCUAAACUCCACUAAGAUCCAUUCCCUGUCCUCAGUGUCUGCUGCCAUUAUUUUAGCUGCGGUCUUCCUUAUCUCUGCUUCCUGUCUCUCCAAGCCAGCCUCCAUUUGGCCUUUAGUUCUCUCUCCAAACAAAAAUCUGACCAUACCCUUUUCCUGUUUAAAAACCAAAAUGACGUCUUUCUGCUACAGAAAGAGCUAACUGUUCUUAGUAUAGUAGCAUGGUCCCUAUUACUAGCAGUUCCCCCCAACCUGCCCUGGACUUUGCAUAUACUUUCCUCUGCCUGAAAAACCCUUUUCCUGGGAAUAAUUUCAACACCCUGCUCAUUGAUCACUUCUGCAGUGUUGACUUUCCAGGUAAUUCCUGGGGGAGAUUAUCCCUCCCUCCUUUGGAUCGUUUCAGGGGCCUGCAACCACUGCUCUUAUCAUGUGUAUUAUUCUGUUUCUGUAUCUGUCUCAUUUACACCAGAUUUUGGUUCUUCAAAAGCAGAAGCUGUCUCAUCGUCUUUAGACUUCAAGGUCCUGGCAUACUGUCUGGCCCACAGUAGGUACAGGUAACUGUCAAAUGAAUGGAUGGGAUGGAUGUACAUCUCUGAUGAAAUAAGAAGCUUAGCUUGUUAAGUCUUCAUUAUUCUCUUGGUUUUAAUCUUUAGGGAAAAGGGCAGAAGUCAUCCCCUUUAUUCCACAGUCAAAAUACUGACAAAUUUGGGAGGCUGGAGAAACAUCUAUUUCUUUCCUAAAAAUUGUAUCUGGGGUGGGGAUGAGGAGCCAGAAUUUCAGAGAAAAUGAAGAACUUGGUCAGAUUUUCCAGCACAGCUGCCUGCAUCACCCAGUACUGAGCAGGGAAGGCACAGCAGCCUAGGAGGUUGACCCUGGCUAAGGCUAAUAUCCUUGCUGAAUUCUUUCGGUGGACCUUACAAACCAUUUGUAAAAUGCUGAAUCCUUUCGGUGGACCUUACAAACCAUUUGUAAAAUGGUUAGGAGCACGAUGCAUCCAUGCUACUUUUGGGUCCUGCUCCUUCUAACUCAUGGCCCUCCCACUAUCCAACACGACUUCAGAAAGAGGGGUCUUAAAACUAGCUUUGGAUUCUUAUAAACUUUAGCUGAUUGAAGGAAAUGCAACAGCUUUGGAAGGAAGGUGCUUCUGAGAUGCUCGAGUGCCCUGUCCACACUCCCCAGCCCCCUAGUUGUACGGAAUCCGUGGAGCAGUCUGCAAGGUAGCUAAGGUGCUGGCUGCCAGCAUUCCCUGGGAAAUUCGAGCUGUGCUUGUCUGUUUUGGUUUCCCUUUCAGUUAGGCAGGCCUGGUGUUCCCACCAGCUAAUGUCUAUAGUUUAUUUAACUAUUAUUUCAUACGUUUUCCUGUGAAGCUCUUCGAAAUACUAGAGAAAACAGUUCUUCUAUGUCCUCCAUGCUACCUUCAUGGGAUGGGUGGGGAGCUGAGAGGGGGACUGUUUAUAGAGAGGCAAAGAAACUGGGAAGCAAUCUGUGUCACCGAAAACCGCCUGGAGGCUCAGGGAAUACCAGACAGGUUCCCAUUCCCGCCCUGGCUCCAGGCCAUAUUUUCGUUUCCGCCAGUUUCUUAGCCUCAUUGAAAAUUUGGCUUCACUUAGAAUAAUUUAGAAACAUAUAAGCCUGGGACGGUUUUCGGAGGGUUUCAGGCCUUGACUUUUACAGUAGUAAACAAAAAUGUCCCUCUGUCCCUUCAGACCGCUGCUACCCGCAGCCGUUUUCGACUGGGUGGGAGGGCUCCGCCGAGUCCCCGGGACCCUGCGGGGACGCGGCCCCCAACAGAGGUAAGGCUGCGGAGAAUCCUCGCACGGAAGGGAAACAGACUAGGACUGAAGUUGCAGAGGGGCAGGAGGCUUCCGAGAAACGGUCCUUCAUCUCAGCGACCCCCGGGGCUGGUCCCUCCCUGCCGAAGGAAGAAUAAAGAUAUUUGAAGAUAGUCAAGAGGUUAGUUGGCUCUAGAUGGAGUGAAAUGCAGCAUUAACAUCUAAUUAAGAAAAAAAAAAGAAGCCCAAAUAAGCAGAUCGGUGAACAGAGACUGAAAAUUUGAGUGGCCACCUCCUACAAACUUCAGCACCUGCUCAACUCAGUUUCACAUCAGUGAGAUGGGGAUAAAAGUGCCCCGUUUCAGACAGGUUGGCGGCUCACACUAUUGACCAGCAUCAACCUGUCUGCAGACACUUUCCCGUCAGUUUGCAGACUCCCUGAAUCCAGAAGCUGCAUUGAAUAUAAUGUGUUUGCACCCAGGACAGUGUUGCCUAGAAAUAAGCAUAUCGUUCAGGGAAGCCUGGAAGGAGUGCCAUGAUCUCCAUUUUAUAGCCCAAAUCCUAGAGCCCACGGCUCUCGUUACCUUCCCACCGUGUUACCUUGAGGAGAAAAGGCACUGGCCACCAUCUUUUGGUCGAUUGCUGGACUCACACUGGGGAUUCCUCUCUCAGCAGCUGGAAAUGAUGUGAUGAUUUCUCCCCCCACACCUUCCGUCAGCACCAAAGAAUGAUUUACAGGAUCUAACCCCAAACUGAAAAGCUGUACAGUGAUGUUCAUGAUUCAAGCCACAUAUUUAUUCUUUUUUAUUUGUGCUCCUUAUAAAAGGUUUGUAUAUCUUUCUGUUCUCUCUCUCUCUCUCUCUCUCUCUCUCUCUCUCUCUUUAUAGAAUGUCCUGGAGCAAAGUAAAAAAAAAAAAACCUAUGUUGUGUAAUUUACAAAGUAUUUCAAGGUCACUCAAGGUUCAUUCACUCAAUUAAGCAUUUUGUUUAUCAGCGAAUUUGAGCUCUUUGAUGUGUCUAUGGAGUGUGUGAAAAAUGCACAGCGUCCAUUCUUGUACAACUCUUAGGCAAGCAUGCAUACAGCUGACUACAAGACCACAUAUUUAGUCCAUGUUAGUCCUGUGGACAAAGUCUAAGGGACUUCAGGAGACUGAGAAUUGAAUUUUAGUGGGGGAAGGAUGAGAAAAGGGUAGAACAAGGAACCGACAAAAUGGAGGAGUUGCCUGAGCUUGAUAUUCAGUCAUUCCAUAAACAUUUACUCGACCAUCACCUAUGUGCCAGGCACAAUUUGAGGCACCAGAAAUGCAAAGAUGGAUCUUACACAGUCCCCAUCCUCAAGGAGCUCACAGACCAAAAGAGGGCAAACAAAAUGUCAGCAACUGAGUGUUAGAUAGCAAGACUGAUGUAUAAGUUGAAGUGCGACUGCCCAGAGAUGGUGCAUUCUUUCUGGUCUGUGCCUUUAAGGUGAGGAAGAGGCAAGAACUUCUAGAGGAGGUGGGUUGUAGUUGACUUUUGGCAACUAUGAAAAUUCUUUGAUACUUUGAAACUACGAUGGUGUUGGGGGGCAGAGUGAGCAGACAGGGAAGCGUGGAAUAGCAAGGCACAGUCAAGGAAAGCCAAGCAGUCAGAAACUGGAGGGACAAGUGUGUACAAGUGGGCAGCGCUGAAGAGUGCGUCUGGGUUGGUGGACAAGGAAUGGCCUUGAAUAUGAAGCUAAGGAGCUUUGAUCCUCUAGGCUUUGGAAAAUCAUGGUAAGAUUUUUAAACAAGAGAAUGAUAUCAGAAUGACAUUUGAGUGUAUUUAUAUCAAAUGUAAAUGGCAGUGAAUGUUAAAUGAAAAUUUAAGAUUAUUAUUGAAAAAGUUUUUUUCUAAAGCAUUUAUAAUUUUGUAUUAAAUUUAAGAGGAAAACACAGAUUUUAAAUAAUAAAUGUGUUUUUAAGUAGAUUUUUUCAUGUUGAGGUAAUUGUAGAUCAUGAGAAAUACUAUAGAGAGGUCCUAUGUAAUCUUUAUCCCAUCUUCUCCAAUAAUAUGAUCUUAUAAAACUGCAGUACCCAUCCAUCGAUACAGUUAAAAUAAAGAAUAUUUCUAUCAACACAAGAAUCCUUCAUGUUGCCCUUUUACUGGCCACACACUCACCUCUCUCACUCAUUCACUCCUUCCUCCCUGGAAAUGUAUCAUGUUUUCCUUUUUAGGAUGGUGCUUUUUGUGUUAAGGCUAAGAACUCUUUACCUAGCAUUAGAUCCUGGAUAUUUUCUGCCAUUUUUUUCUAACAAUUUUGUGUUUUACAGUAAAGUCUAUGCUCCAUUUUGAGUUAAAUUUUGUAUAAGGUGUGAGAUUUAGAUCAGAGUUCUUUUUUUCUUUUUUUGCUAUGGAUGAAUAAUUGCUCCAGUAUCAUUUGUUAUAAAAGCUGUAUUUCCUCAUUUGAGCUGCUUUUGCACCUUUGUCAAAAAUCACCUGGGUGUAUUUGUGUGGGCUUAUAUCUGGGCUGUUUGUUUAUUCUGUUCCACUGAUCUGUGCAUCUAUCUCUCCACCAAUAUCACACAGUCUUGAUAACUGUAGCUACACACAAUAAGUCUUGGAAUAGAGUACAUUGAGUCCUACCUUAUUAUUUUAUUUCAAAUGGCUUUAGCUAUCCAAGUGUCUUGGCCUUUCCACAUAAAUUUUAGAGUGAUCUUGUCUAUAUCUACAAAAAGUCUUGCUGGGAUAUUGAUAGGAAUUGUAUUAAACCUGUGUAAUAGUUUGGGAAGAACUGAUGUCUUUACUAUUUUAGGUCUUCUAAUCCAUGAAUAUAGUAUGUUUAUUUGUUUAAAUAUUCUUUGAUUUUUUAAAAUAAGCAUUAGGUUGUUUUCAGCAUAUAAAUCCUAUAAAUGUUUUAUUAGAUUUACACCUCAGUAUUUGCUUUUUUGGUAUGAUUUUAAAUAGUGUUGUAUUGUAAUUUAGAUGUGUUCAUUUCUAGUGUAUAAAAAAAUGAUGGAUUUCUAAGAUACUUAUUUUGAAUCCUCUGACUUUUCAAAAUUCACUUAUUUGUUCUACGAGUGUUUUAAAAAUAGAUUCCUUGGGAUAGUCUGUAGAUAAUCAUGUCAUCUGUGAAUACAGAUAGUUUUAUUUCAUAGUUCAUUGUUUUCUAAUCUGUAUGCCUUUUAUUUCCUUUGCUUCUUGCAUUGGCUAGAACUUCUCGCAUUUUAAAUACGAGUAGUGAGAGGAGAUAUCCUUGCUUUGCUACAGAUCUUAAGGGAAAAGCAUGCAGUCUUCACUACUAAGCAUAAUGUUAGUUGUAAGUUUUUGUAGAUUCUCUUAAUCAAAUUAAGAUAGUUUCCUAUUCCUAUUUUUCUGAGACUUUUUGUCAUGAAUGAAUGUUGACUUCCAUCAAAUUUUCUGUUUUGAUUAAUAUAAUCAUGUGUUGGUCUGUUGAUUGGUGGCUUACCUCAGUUUCUUUUCAAAUAUUGAAUUAGCCUCGCAUCCCUGGAAUAAAUCCCACUUGGUCAUGGUAUAUAAUUAUUUUUCCAUAUUAUUGAAUCCUAUUGCUAAUAUUUUGUUAAGUAUUUUUGUGUCUAAAUUCAUAAGGAAUGUUGGUUUGUAGUUUUCUGUUUAUGUACUGUCUUUGCCUGGCUUUGUUAUCACAGUAAUACUAGCUAUAGAAAAUGAAUUGGGAAGGGUUCCCUCCUCUUCUAUUUUCUGGAAGAGAGUUUGAAAAAUUGGUGUCAAUUCUUCAUUAUGUAUUUGGUAGAAUUCUCCAGUGAAACCAUAUAGUCCUGGAGAUUUCUUUUCUGUGAGUUUUUAAAUGAAAAAUUCAAUUUCCUUAAUAGUUCUAGGGGUAUUCAAAUGACUUAUUUCAUUUUGUGUGCGUUGUGGUAGUUUAUAUUUUUUGAGGAAUUGGUCCAAAUGUCUAUUAGCAUGUAGAUUUGUUUAUAGUAUUCAUUUGUUAUCCUUUUGAUGCCUGCAGGUGGAGAGAUAGACGCACAUCAUUGUUCAUGAUGUCAGUAAUUUGUGUCUUCUCUCUUUAUUCUUUCUCAGUCUUGCUAGAAUAAUGCCAAUUUUUUUGGUCUUUUCAAAGAAUCAGCUCUUUGUUUCAUUGAUGUAUCAAUAAUUUUCUAAUGAAUCCAUUUAGUGUUAUAAAUCUAUCUUUCAGUACUGUUUUACCUGUGCCCUAUAAAUGUUGAUAUGUUGUAUUUUCAUUUUCAUUCACUGCAAUGUUUUUUAAAAAUUUCUUUUCAAACUUCUUUGACCCAUGAGUUAUUUGGAAGUGUGUUGUUAAAUUUCCAAGUAUUUGGAGAUUUUCCUGUUUUCUUUCUGUUAUUGAUUUCACUUGGGUCAGUUUGAUUCCACUGCAGUCAGAAAACAUACUAUGUAUGAUUUUGGUGCUGUUACAUUUUAUUAGGGUUAGUUUUAUGGCCCGGGCUAUGUUCUAUAUGUUCUGUGGGCAUUCAAAAAGAAUGUGCAUUCUCCUGUUGUUGGGUGGAGUGUUCUAUAAAUGUGUAUUAGAUUCUGUUGUUUGAUAGUGUUGAUGAAUUAUUCUAUAUCCUUAAUGAUUUUCUGCCUAGUUAUUAUAACAAUGAUUGAGAGAAGGGUGUUGAAGUCUCCAAACAGAAAUGUAAAUUUAUUUGUUUUUUUCUUUCAGUUCUACCAGUUUUUGCUCCAUAUAUCUUGCAGCUCUGUUGUUUGGUGCAUACAUAUUUAAGACCACUAUGUCUUCUUGGUUAAUUGACACUUUCAUCAUUUUUAACAUCUACCUUUGAGUCUGGUAAUUUUCUGUGCUUUGAAUUUUCUCUACUUUAUCUGAUAUUAAUAUAGUCAACCUGCUUCCCUUUGGAUAACAUUUGCAUUAUAUAUUUCUUUCUAUCCUUUUACUUUCAACCUGCUUAUAUUGUUAUAUUUGAAAUAAGUUUCUUGUAGAAAGGAUAUAGGUGGGUCAUGUUUUUAAUCCACUCUCCCUAUCUCUGUCUUUUAACUGCUAUAUUUUGAUCAUUUUCAUUUAAUGUAAAUAUAGGGCUGAAGUCUUUUUUGUUUUCUCACUCUUCUCUCUGUUUUCUCAUUUCUUUAUUUUAUUUUUCCUUCUUGUAAAUUACUUGAAUGUAUUUUAUAACUCUAUUUUGAUUUUAUUUCUUUGUUGACACUUUCUGUUUCUUUGCUGGGAUUCUGUAUUCUUAUUUGUUUCAUACAUGUUCAUAAUUGUUUGUUGAAGCACUUUUAAUAGCUUCUUUAAAAUCUUUGGGCCUGCUUUAAAGUACUUGUGAUAUCACUCUAAUUUCUCUUUCAUCUUAAUGUGGGUAUCUAUUAAUUAUCUUUUUUUCAUUCAGUUUGAGAUCCUCCUGGUUGUUAUAAUAAGUGGUUUUCAGCUGAAACUUGGACAUUUUCAUAUUAUGUUCUGAGAUUUUGGGUUUUUCUUGGCUUUUUAGGGGGGCACCACUUCAUUCUUGCAAAGUGGAGGUAGAAAUCCAGGUUCCUCACCUGCCCGUUGUUGAAAGUCACUCCCGAGAGGGCUGCUUUUUCUUACUGCCAGUUGGAGGUGGGAGGUCCAGUUCCCCAUGUGGUCUCCACUAACUCUGCAGUUAGGGAAGUCUUGUUACUGCUGGGCUAUAUGGUAAAGUCCUGACUCUCCACUAGUCCUCCUCUGACAGCACCCCAAAGGGGAAGGAGAGGGGCUCCUUGUUACUGCUGGAUGGGGUGGAAGUCCAUGCUCUCAGUGUGAUCUCCACUGACAUCACGGGGAUGGGAAGAGCUCAUUACUGGCCAGUGAGGAUGAAAGUGCAGGCACCCUACUUGACCUUCUCUGACACCACCCAGUUGUGCUGGCACACCUCAGUAUAGUCUCAUGAGGGUGAAGUCUAGGUUCCUACUAUGACUUUGCUGAUGUGGGUGAGAGUAGGGCCACAGAUAGUUUCUGUGGUGUUUGACUGGGGUAGAGUUUCUAAAAAGUUUCCUGUCUGCUAGGCUGCCCUUUUCUUAUUCCUUUGUCAGUAAAGAGAAAGCUUUGGGUUGAGGCUUGUAUUGUCUGCCUUUAGUAUUUCAGAAUUGCUGGGUUGUUUAGCUCUAAUUCUGGGAUCUAUGGGGCCAAAAGAAAAUCCGGGAACUGACAGACCACUCUGUCAUUCCUUGGGCUCUGACGUCUCUAGUCAGUCUGCCUCCUUUUUGGUGUCUUUCCAAGUCUUCUUAUCUUGAUUUUAUGUAUAAUGACCAUGGUUUUUAUUUGUGUGUGAUGGAAGGAAUAGGUACAUCAAAUUCUGUCUAUUCUACCUUCUCUGAAGAAGUACCAAGUGUAAAUGAAUGUAAUUAAACAUUUUAAAGUAUUUUAUACAAACAUUUGAAAUAUAAUUAAACAUUUUAAAUUAUUUUAUACAAAUAAAAUCAUGUACAGUUUCACAUUAAGUAUUCUUCUAGUUACCAAUAAAAAUACUGGUGUCAUGCUUCACUCAUAUAAACAAAUUUAAGUGUAAUAUGAUUUGUUUAGUAUUGCAAAGUGUUCCUCAGCUGCUACCUGCAUCUGUUGCAAAGAGUGUGAUCAUUUGUGAAUAUUUCUGGAACCUUUAAUUAAAACAAAGAGAAGGAAGAAAACAGCACCUGGCACUUACUAGGAAAUAAUCAUUCAGUUAGCAAGAAGUAGUGCAUUUGUGCUGAGAGCAAGGAUUUGACAAGUUAAUUUGUCUCUUCUCAUAUCUAAGUGUUUCUGUUGCUCAAAUUCUCCCCAUGGUUCAAUUCUCUUAGGACAAAGCUUACAAACCUUCAUGGCAUUCAGACACAGCUGCCUUCUGCUUUGAGGACUGGGCAAGAGAUAUGAAGUAUUUCCCUGGGGCCUGCAGGGUGCUAGUAACAAGAGUGGAUGUUUGGGAUUCUGUGGGGCUCUUCACCAGCACUGAGCACCAGAUCCCAAGAGCACCAGAGCUCUUCAUUAAGUGUGUGUGUGUGUGUGUGUGUGUGUGUGCUGUGAGGUAUGGUACCCCCUCUAACACAUGCAGCCAGGCCAGGAACUCUCUUGCCUGGAACCUAAGGGUAGUAUUAUCUUCUACUGGGCAAGUUCAGCUAAGACUCUGAAACUACAUGAAUUUUAAUGGCUUUCUUUCUCAUCUGCUUCUCAUAAUCUCAUGUAAGACUAUUCACAAUGUAAAUGAGGCAAAACUAAACAUUUCCACAUUCAAUUGAGAAUUAAUAUGAGGUAAACACAGAUCAGGAGAUGGUGAGCAUUCUUUCUCUACAAUUUAUGAUGCAAUUUUAAUGGCCCUGCACCACUGUGUCUUUGUGUAGUGACACUGUGUAGGCAAAAAGGCAUAUUUCUCUCUCUGAAUUAUGGAGGAAAGAGCUGAAUUUAUUUUACGGUCAAUUUCAUUUUUUCUAACUAGAGUCAAAUGAUUGAUAUAAUUAAAAAUAUAUCAGCUCACCCAGAACAGUAGCAGUUGUGUAUUUGGUUAGAUGGCAGGAUAAUUACCAACCCUUAUCUUUGAUUUUCAAACUUAAAUCUGUUUCCCGUUUAGUUUUAAUUGGUUCUAGGCUUCCAUCCAUCCUUAACUUUGAGUUUAUUUGUUGCCAUUGUUGUG